AGAUUCUGAUCUUUUAAACUAAUAUAAUUUGUGUUCUAUACAUAAUUAUAUUUUUUUUACAUAACUCUAAAAUCUCGGACUUGAUUCUUCAUAUUUUAUUAGUUAAUUGUGUUACAUAUAAUAUAAAUAUUUACUUCAAUCUAAAAAUAUAAAAAAAAUCAAAUUUAAAAAUUAGUUAUAUAUAAUUUAAUAUAUAAAAAUUCACGUACAAAUAAAAAUGAUAAAUGUAACAAAUUUAAAUAUAUUAUUCGCGCGUAGCGCGGAAAAAGGAUCUAGUUACCAUAAAAGAAAACAAAAAAAAACAUAUUUCAUUGUUUUCAACAUAAAUAUCAAUUAAUCAGGAAGAUUCAUACAAUUUUUUUACUACUUCUUGCUUCCAUAAUACUGCUAAAACUCUAUUUCUACCUCAAGGAGAUACUAAACAUAUGUAAUCAAAUUCUAAGGAC
rnacentral:lncRNA from 1 species